GUCUGAAGACUGCGGUUAUAGGCACUUCUAAAUGUUUGAAUGGGAGAGUUUUUUUUGGUUUUUCUGACGAUGUUGGAUUAGUUAAUCGCUAUAUGUUCAAAUAGUGCGGAUGUUUUGUCUUUUCUGUUUCUGAACGAGCCUUGCUGUGAACUCAUGCUGUCACUUUGCAUUCAAUUUUGUCAAUCCAGUGAAACAAAGUGAUAAAUACAAUUGACUAUUUUUUUCCUAUUUGCUAAGUGAUUAUCACAAAAUGAAAUCAUUGGCUCAAUAGGACCAGUAAAGCUACAUUGACCAAUAAUUUUGAUCGGAACAGUAUAGAAUUUUUGGUCAAUUAUGCAUUGUGAAAGUGCAAUUUGGAGGCUUUACAUGCAUUGUUAUGACAUCGGUCAGUAAACAGAAAAUGCAACUCAGUACUGGGAGUUUACAAAGUUGUAGAGGCAUGUCACUUGGUGGCUGAUUGUUCAUUUGCGAGUCCAAGUUUGACAACCAACGAAAGCUGUUUACCAUUGAUUAUCGAGUUAAGGUAGGAGCCUGGAUUUCCUGGAGAAAAUGGUUCCUCAAUUAUUACAGACAUCAGCAUAAAUCCUCGUCAAUCAUUCGCUCCAUCAUGCAAGAAACCGGCCCUACAAUUGCCCUCGACCUGGUCUUUCUGCUGCUGUGUCUGAAUAAUUGGACAAGAACAGGGACGGGUUUGAGUUUCGCCAAGAACAUAUUGUUCUUGCUUAUUCGUCAGUUGUAAUACAGAGAGAGGGGAGGAGAGAGAGGCAGGAAGAAUGGGGAAAGAGAAAGCGGGUUUGGUCGCGUUGCUGAUAAUUGUGCCGAGCUGGUGUGUAUCGUUGUCCUCCUACUCCUCCUCUUCUUCUUUCAGAGGUGAUCUGAGCAGAGGCAAGGUGCCCUUGACUUUCAGACGCCACAUCCGCUUUAUCGACCCAACAAGGACCUAGUAAUCUGCAGGGACCCAAUUUGCGCGUCCCUGCAUUCAGGCAACUACAGAUGUGACCACCCAGAGCAAUGUGACUACGAGGUGGAAUUGGAUGGCGGCUCUUCUCUUGGUGUAAUUGUAAAGGAUGUCGUUUCUUUCAGGUCCUACAGCAACAGCAGGCUUCUUAGUCCUUGUGUCACCCUUGGGUAGAUGUGAAUAUGAUCAGAUACCUGGUCCGUCCAAUCCUUUCUUAGAUGGAGUGCUUGCGCUCGGUAAGGGAAGGUCCAGCAUCGUAUCACAGCUAAGUAGUCAAGGUUUGGUGGGUACUAGGCCACUGCUUGAGUACACGUGGUGGUGGAUUUCUCUUCUUCGGUGAUGAUCUUUAUGACUCCUCCCGCAUCACAUGGAUGCCUAUGUCUCAUG